AACGCACAUUGCGCCCUUUGGUAUUCCGAAGGGCAUGCCUGUUCGAGCGUCAUUAUCAACCUUCAAGCCUGGCUUGUCAUUGAACCCUUCGUUGAAAAGGCGGGUUCGAAAGAUAAUGGCGGCGUCGUGUCGACCCGAGACGCAACGAGCUUUACAGCACGCGUCUUGGCGCUCGGCCGGCCCGGCCCUCAACCCUAUACUUCUAUGGUUGACCUCGGAUCAGGUAGGAUUACCCGCUGAACUUAA
rnacentral:misc_RNA from 1 species